rnacentral:rRNA from 1 species
CCUACAGGGGGCAGCAGUGGGGAAUAUUGGACAAUGGGGGCAACCCUGAUCCAGCCAUGCCGCGUGUGUGAAGAAGGCCCUCGGGUUGUAAAGCACUUUCAGUGAGGAAGAACGCCUGGUGGUUAAUACCCAUCAGGAAAGACAUCACUCACAGAAGAAGCACCGGCUAACUCCGUGCCAGCAGCCGCGGUAAUACGGAGGGUGCGAGCGUUAAUCGGAAUUACUGGGCGUAAAGCGCGCGUAGGUGGCUUGAAAAGCCGGUUGUGAAAGCCCCGGGCUCAACCUGGGAACGGCAUCCGGAACUGUCAAGCUAGAGUGCAGGAGAGGAAGGUAGAAUUCCCGGUGUAGCGGUGAAAUGCGUAGAGAUCGGGAGGAAUACCAGUGGCGAAGGCGGCCUUCUGGACUGACACUGACACUGAGGUGCGAAAGCGUGGGUAGCAAACAGGAUUAGAUACCCCUGUAGUC